rnacentral:rRNA from 1 species
UCAAGUGAAUAAGUGCAUCAGGUGGAUGCCUUGGCGAUGAUAGGCGACGAAGGACGUGUAAGCCUGCGAAAAGCGCGGGGGAGCUGGCAAUAAAGCUAUGAUCCCGCGGUGUCCGAAUGGGGAAACCCACCUCUUAGGAGGUAUCCUUAUCUGAAUACAUAGGAUAAGCGAAGCGAACCCGGAGAACUGAACCAUCUAAGUACCCGGAGGAAAAGAAAUCAACCGAGAUUCCGCAAGUAGUGGCGAGCGAACGCGGAGGAGCCUGUACGUGAUAACUGUCGAGAUAGAAGAACAAGCUGGGAAGCUUGACCAUAGUGGGUGAUAGUCCCGUAUUCGAAAUCUCAACAGUGGUACUAAGCGUACGAAAAGUAGGGCGGGACACGUGAAAUCCUGUCUGAAUAUGGGGGGACCAUCCUCCAAGGCUAAAUACUCAUCAUCGACCGAUAGUGAACCAGUACCGUGAGGGAAAGGCGAAAAGAACCCCGGGAGGGGAGUGAAAUAGAACCUGAAACCUGAUGCAUACAAACAGUGGGAGCACCCUUGUGGUGUGACUGCGUACCUUUUGUAUAAUGGGUCAACGACUUACAUUCAGUAGCGAGCUUAACCGAAUAGGGGAGGCGUAGGGAAACCGAGUCUUAAUAGGGCGAACAGUUGCUGGGUGUAGACCCGAAACCGAGUGAUCUAUCCAUGGCCAGGUUGAAGGUGCCGUAACAGGUACUGGAGGACCGAACCCACGCAUGUUGCAAAAUGCGGGGAUGAGCUGUGGAUAGGGGUGAAAGGCUAAACAAACUCGGAGAUAGCUGGUUCUCCCCGAAAACUAUUUAGGUAGUGCCUCGAGCAAGACACUGAUGGGGGUAAAGCACUGUUAUGGCUAGGGGGUUAUUGCAACUUACCAACCCAUGGCAAACUAAGAAUACCAUCAAGUGGUUCCUCGGGAGACAGACAGCGGGUGCUAACGUCCGUUGUCAAGAGGGAAACAACCCAGACCGCCAGCUAAGGUCCCAAAUGAUAGAUUAAGUGGUAAACGAAGUGGGAAGGCCUAGACAGCCAGGAUGUUGGCUUAGAAGCAGCCAUCAUUUAAAGAAAGCGUAAUAGCUCACUGGUCGAGUCGUCCUGCGCGGAAGAUGUAACGGGGCUCAAAUCUAUAACCGAAGCUGCGGAUGCCAGUUUACUGGCAUGGUAGGGGAGCGUUCUGUAGGCCGAUGAAGGUGCAUUGUAAAGUGUGCUGGAGGUAUCAGAAGUGCGAAUGUUGACAUGAGUAGCGAUAAAGCGGGUGAAAAGCCCGCUCGCCGAAAGCCCAAGGUUUCCUACGCAACGUUCAUCGGCGUAGGGUGAGUCGGCCCCUAAGGCGAGGCAGAAAUGCGUAGUCGAUGGGAAACAGGUUAAUAUUCCUGUACUUGAUUCAAAUGCGAUGUGGGGACGGAGAAGGUUAGGUUAGCAAGCUGUUGGAAUAGCUUGUUUAAGCCGGUAGGUGGAAGACUUAGGCAAAUCCGGGUCUUCUUAACACCGAGAAGUGAUGACGAGUGUCUACGGACAUGAAGUAACCGAUACCACGCUUCCAGGAAAAGCCACUAAGCUUCAGUUUGAAUCAAACCGUACCGCAAACCGACACAGGUGGGCAGGAUGAGAAUUCUAAGGCGCUUGAGAGAACUCGGGAGAAGGAACUCGGCAAAUUGAUACCGUAACUUCGGGAGAAGGUAUGCCCUCUAAGGUUAAGGACUUGCUCCGUAAGCCCUGGAGGGUCGCAGAGAAUAGGUGGCUGCGACUGUUUAUUAAAAACACAGCACUCUGCUAACACGAAAGUGGACGUAUAGGGUGUGACGCCUGCCCGGUGCUGGAAGGUUAAUUGAAGAUGUGCAAGCAUCGGAUCGAAGCCCCAGUAAACGGCGGCCGUAACUAUAACGGUCCUAAGGUAGCGAAAUUCCUUGUCGGGUAAGUUCCGA